AUACCCCUACAACAACAAAGAGUGUUGACAUUGUGAGUUAUAACGUCAUCAUACACAGAUUCCCCUAUACAGCUGGUCAGUCAUAUACCGUGAUUCAAUCGUUCAGCAUCCAGUGGUGUUAAUGGUUCUCCAAGUUCAACAUUUGAAAAUGGCGAUUCAGAACUAAAGGGAAAAAUGUGAACUGAAAAAAGGAAUUGAAGAGCCUUUGAAAAUUGAGAGCAUAAAGUAUUAUAUUGGUAUGUGAAGCGUCAAGCUUAUCUGAAGUGAUGUUAUGGCUUAAACUGUGCGACAUGGGAUUUGGAGAGAUAAAGGAUGUCCAAGAAAAUGCUAUGCUAAACAUUGGCUACCGUUCUCCAGAUAUAGACAUCUAUCUAUAGAAAGUAUAUGACAUUAUGCCUUUUUCAUUUAUAAUUUACACCAACUCUAAGCCUGUUUUAUACGCCUUUUACUUGUUACCUUUGAAAUUGUAACUUUCUCAUAAGGCUCAUAAUCAUUAAAAUUGAACGGACGGGAAUACGGAAA